AGCUGGAGGAGGGGCAAAGACAGUGGCAGUUUGGACAAAGCGAGUUUAGGCUGACAGAGCAAUUCUUCCGGGAGGGAGCGGCAGGUAGUUGCACAUCUGUGAGCUCAGCGGAAGGGAAGGGAAGGUGGGGAGAAACGUUCCCCAGAGGAGAUUCCAGGGGGGUACAUGGGAUCUUGAAAACAGAGGGACCCAGGGGGGCAGCCCAGACCAGAGCGGGCUUGCCUGUUACCCUCCCCUGGGACUACGAGAAGGUGGUUCUCCCAGCGGAGAGGAAGGGACCUCUGGCAGAGAGGAGGCCAGCACCGCCAGAGAGGGUCUGAAGAGAUCCUCGGAGCAGGCAUGAAAACCGCACCUCCAUUACCGGUGCAGGUCAGGCUGCCGCUCUGUACUGACUCAGUGAAGCCCGUUUAAGGACUUACCGUAUUCCUCGAGACUUUGUGAAGAAUCUGGAGGGAAAGCAGCCUGAAUUAGCCAAGGGGAAAGAACGGAAGCAAGCUACCGCUACAGAAGCAACUCCGUGAGGCCCCGGAGGAGAACCACAAUGGGCUGGGACAGUCAUGGCAGACUCUGCUGCUGGCAGCUGUGAAGGGCUGAGAUGGAGCCCUCCCGGUGGUGGGCAGUGGGCGCAACCCUGACCUGCAUCCUCAGGUGAUCAAAUUCCUGCUCUUAUUUUCUCAACAAAGCCAACUUAUGGACUUACAUUUCUUCGGGGAUUUCAGCAUGGUGGGAAUGGAAGGAAGAGAGCCUACAUUAACCAACAGAGCGACAGUAUGGAUAGCCUUGGGUAGAUUCGACUGGAUCCUGGAAGUUUCAGUCUUCUUAAAAGUACACAUUUUAAUGAUGAUUCUCCUUAUAUUUUUCCUUCCCAUCAUCCUUCUUGGCUAUAUCUGAAGAAAUGGCCCACAUUAGUGAUGACGGGCUUCUUAACCUACUUCUGCCUAUAUGACAUAUGUGGCUCAAAACCUCUGCAUAUUUUAAACAAUUUUAGUUCUUGUAAGUCUCAUCUAGCAUUGCUUUUGACUCAACAGCCUCCUAAAACAAAAAAUGUAAUGACUUUCUUACUAAUCUAAUGAUUUUAUCCUCUUAACCACUAUUGUUUUCUAGACACAACUCUCUUGAUUUACACACUAGUACUUUCGAAUUGGGUUCUUGUGAGAUCGUGAUAUGAAUAUUCUAGACUUAUUUGGUCCAGACAAAAUGGUUUAACUUCAUCAUUUCACAGUUUUAAUGAGGGGUUACACAGC